AAGAACCUUACCUACUCUUGACAUCCAGAGAACUUUCCAGAGAUGGAUUGGUGCCUUCGGGAACUCUGAGACAGGUGCUGCAUGGCUGUCGUCAGCUCGUGUUGUGAAAUGUUGGGUUAAGUCCCGCAACGAGCGCAACCCUUAUCCUUUGUUGCCAGCGGUUAGGCCGGGAACUCAAAGGAGACUGCCAGUGAUAAACUGGAGGAAGGUGGGGAUGACGUCAAGUCAUCAUGGCCCUUACGAGUAGGGCUACACACGUGCUACAAUGGCGCAUACAAAGAGAAGCGACCUCGCGAGAGCAAGCGGACCUCAUAACGUGCUCUAGUCCGGAUUGGAGUCUGCAACUCGACUCCAUGAAGUCGGAAUCGCUAGUAAUCGUA
rnacentral:rRNA from 1 species